UUACAGUUCUUCAUUAUUUUUACUUAUUGUUCGACUUAUCGGGAGUCUCUUUGCACGGAAGCAGUGCGAAGAAACUUUAUGCACUUAUAUUUUUGGCAUUUUGGCGUUUAUUUUUGAGGAACUUGAAAGAAGGAACGGAGACACCUUUGAAAGCCGGAAGCUGUUGUGUGACGCUGGAGCUCUAGACGUGUUGC